GACGAACCGUGCGAACGUUGUUCGGAAUCACUGGGCUUAAAGGGCGCGUAGGCGGCCGUCAUAGUCGGGGGUGAAAUCGUUCGGCUCAACCGGACAAGGGCCCCCGAUCACUGGACGGCUAGAGCGGGGUAGGGGCACGCGGAACUUCCGGUGGAGCGGUGAAAUGCGUUGAUAUCGGAAGGAACGCCGGCGGCGAAAGCGGCGUGCUGGACCCCUCCUGACGCUGAGGCGCGAAAGCCAGGGGAGCGAACGGG
rnacentral:rRNA from 1 species